rnacentral:rRNA from 1 species
UACAGAGGGGGCAAGCGUUAUUCGGAAUUAUUGGGCGUAAAGGGCGCGUAGGCGGCCAUUCAAGUGACGGGUGAAAGCCCUCGGCUUAACCGAGGAACUGCUUGUCAGACUGGAUGGCUUGAGACCGGGAGAGGUGAGUGGAAUUCCCAGUGUAGCGGUGAAAUUCGUAGAUAUCGGGAGGAACACCAGUGGCGAAGGCGGCGAUCUGGGCAGAUACUGACGCUGAUGUGCGAAAGCGUGGGGAGCAAACAGG